rnacentral:rRNA from 1 species
CUUGGUCAUUUAGAGGAAGUAAAAGUCGUAACAAGGUUUCCGUAGGUGAACCUGCGGAAGGAUCAUUAAAGAAUUGCCCCAUUUUUUGAAAUGGGUUCUAUUCCCAAACCGUGUAUACAUACCUUUGUUGCUUUGGCAAGCCGUCCUUCGGGCGCAGCUUCGGCUGAGAGCGCUUGCCAGAGGACCCCAACUCUUUUGUUUAGUGAUGUCUGAGUACUAUAUAAUAGUUAAAACUUUCAACAACGGAUCUCUUGGUUCUGGCAUCGAUGAAGAACGCAGCGAAAUGCGAUAAGUAAUGUGAAUUGCAGAAUUCAGUGAAUCAUCGAAUCUUUGAACGCACAUUGCGCCCCUUGGUAUUCCGAGGGGCAUGCCUGUUCGAGCGUCAUUAUGACCACUCAAGCCUAGCUUGGUAUUGGGGUUCGCGGUCUCGCGGCUCUUAAAAUCAGUGGCGGUGCCGUCUGGCUCUAAGCGUAGUAAUUAUCCUCGCUAUAGGGUCCGGAUGGUGGCUUGCCAAAACCACUAACUCUCAAGGUUGACCUCGGAUCAGGUAGGGAUACCCGCUGAACUUAAGCAUAUCAAUAAGCGGAGGA